rnacentral:ncRNA from 1 species
GUCUGCAUACACUUGCUUCCGCGCUGCGGAACAGGGGAUGGCAGGUCGAGCAAGAGCCGCAUUUGCGAACUGUAGUCGGACUCAGGAAACCUGAUAUCAUAGCACACAGCCCAUCAGGUGCGCUGGUAGUGGACACUCAGAUCGUCGGCGGAACAAGACCUUUGGACCUAGCCCAUAAAGCGAAAGUCCAAUAUUACGCCGACAACCCGAACCUGGCAGAAGUGGUGGCGGCCAGGUUAGGGAAAAGCCCCCAGGAAGUCGCAUUUACAUCAGCGACCAUUUCCUGGCGUGGAGUUUGGUCCCCCAGAUCACACGCUGAUCUUAUUUCAUUUGGAAUCCCCCCCGGAAUUUUAAAUGGAAUGGUGACGCGUGUGCUUCAGGGUUCACACACGAACUGGACCCGCUUUAACCAGAUGACUUUGGCGCGGCGGAUGGUCUAGUGUUUGCGUUCGAGUGCGAACCAGCAGUCAGGUGAGAGCGACCACCUUUUCGGUCCGACUUCGGUCAUUUCUAAAUUGUGGUUGCUGGAGGUUGACAGGCAGCCUCCAGCAUCCACCAGUUGCAAAUAUGAAAAAAAAAAAAAAAAAAAAAAAAAAAAAAAAUAGCCAAAUGCCUCGUCAUCUAAUUAGUGACGCGCAUGAAUGGAUUAACGAGAUUCCCUCUGUCCCUAUCUAUUA